rnacentral:rRNA from 1 species
GACGAACGCUGGCGGCGUGCUUAACACAUGCAAGUCGAACGAUGAAGCUGGAGCUUGCUCCGGUGGAUUAGUGGCGAACGGGUGAGUAACACGUGAGCAAUCUGCCCUUGACUCUGGGAUAACUGCGGGAAACUGUAGCUAAUACCGGAUACGAGGCUCGAAGGCAUCUUCGGGUCUGGAAAGAAUUUCGGUCAAGGAUGAGCUCGCGGCCUAUCAGCUUGGUGGUGAGGUAAUGGCUCACCAAGGCGACGACGGGUAGCCGGCCUGAGAGGGUGACCGGCCACACUGGGACUGAGACACGGCCCAGACUCCUACGGGAGGCAGCAGUGGGGAAUAUUGCACAAUGGGCGAAAGCCUGAUGCAGCAACGCCGCGUGAGGGAUGAAGGCCUUCGGGUUGUAAACCUCUUUUAGCAGGGAAGAAGCGGAAGUGACGGUACCUGCAGAAAAAGCACCGGCUAACUACGUGCCAGCCGCCGCGGUAA